rnacentral:lncRNA from 1 species
GUAACUAAUAGUGUAAUUGAAUCAUGCCUAGACUUUUGCAAUUAUAAAUUUCACCUUUAUGGAUGGGUCGGAUUCAACCAAUGGCUUCAUAGCCUCAGCAAUCGUGUUCGAGUCUAACUUGGAGUAAUCCUGUGAGAUCGUUCCCAUGGAACAUGUGUGACUCCCGUUGUAUCUCCGGAUCUCCCAACAGGCUUUCUUCUGUAUCAAGAUGGCUCGGAUAAGCCAGUCGCACCCACGUCCAUAAUUCUUGAACUUUGCAUAGAACGUCUGUGACUCAUAUUCAUAAACAACAUAAUCGACUCCUCUGGAGAUAGUGUAAUUCCGAAUUAUCGCAAUGACUGAUUUUAUUGAACCGUAUUCCAUUCCGAUUCUAA